UCGAGAAAAGGGGUUCUAUCCAAAGCUGGACACACACAAAAGGAGAGGGGGAGAGAGAGAGAGAGACUGAAACAGAAACAAACCCAAAUCCAGGCCCAACAGCUGAAGCGGACACGCCCUUGUGCCCCGUCUUCCUCCUUGGGGGUCUCUUCCACGGGCAAAGCCCGCCUGAUGAAGAGCAAAUCCGCCAAGAAGGCCGCCGACGAGGAUGAGGCCAAGUCCAAGAAGAUCCGAUCCUCGCGCGGCAAGCGUCGGAGUGUCCGCCACAGCCGCAGCCGCUCCCCUUCCCCCGACGGCUCCAGCUCCAGUUCCCCACCCCGCAAGCGCUCCAAGAAGCCCACCAAGAAGAUUGUUGACAAGAGGAGCAAAAAGAGCAAGGGCAGUGGCAGCCGCCGCGGACGCCGCCGCAGCCUGAGUCCAAGCCGUAGCCCCAGCGGUAGCCCUUCCUCGGUGUCCAGGAGUCACCCCCGCCGCAGCCACCAUAGCAUUAGCAGCAGCAGUGCCUCAGACUCUGAGAGGUCAGUGAGCCCACUGCCCAAGAGCCACUCCAAAGAUCCUAGGAAGAAGAAAGGAAGGGGGAGGGACAAGGAUCGAAAGAGGAGGCGUGUACGGAGAUCAAGGAGCUACUCGAGCAGUCCAGCCAGGAGUGGCAGUAGCCGGAGCAGGAGCAGGAGCAGGAGCAAGAGCAAAAGUAGGAAGCGGAGGGCGGACGGCACGAGACAUGAUGCAAGUAGGGACAGGGUUGUACAGGACUAUGACAACUGCCAGGAUCCGCAGAAUGAGAAGAGAUCUGUUGAGGAUGUUUAUAGCGAUGAGGACGCGGUUGCUGACGAUUAUGAGAAGAAUGUGGAGCUGAAGGAGAUGGAAAGCCCACCUUCCAAGGAUGCUCAUGAACCGGGUGAGAUCUUACCUGUUAAUUGUGAAAGCCCAGAGGUUGAGGAGGAUUUGGAGCUCAUUCUCAGGCAGAAAGCUCUUGAGAACUUCAGGAAGUUUAAGGGAGCCAUGGCCAUGGUAGGCAAGACAGAAAACAAUGGUACAGGGAAGGAAGUACUAACAGAUAGCCCCCAGAAUACUGUCACAAAAUUUCCUGAAGCAAGGUCUGCUGUUGCCCCUUUUCAGAGGCAGGGAAGCAAUCUUGGAGUUGGCCACUCUACUCGAUCACCUGAAUUUGAAGAUUUUGAGAACGGUAGAAGUCCUUGGAAGCAGGAAACGACUCACAGGGAUAGAUCACCUGGAAUACUCGAGGCUGGUGAUACUUGUGGUCCUACUCAACAGCUGGGAAGCGGACUAGAAGAGAUACGUUCAACUUCUCAUAUCACUUCACAUGAUGGUAGGAAUGGUGGUAGUGUAAUGCAAAGGUUGGGAAGCACCCCGGCGAGUUCUGGUAUUAUAAAGCAAAGGUUAGGCAUCAGCUCAGUGGUGAGUCCUGUGCAAGCAAGACCCAGAGUUAGAUCAGUUGUGAGUAUACCCUCCAGGGAAGGGCUUGAUGACAGUACAUUUACAACAAUCCCUACAGCUUGUGAGAAUCCUGCCUCUGUCGAAAGCAGUAGUGAAAGCCAGGCAGCAGGGACCGAGGACAAAGAUGCGUCUCAGUUUGAGAAGAGGACUUUCUCUAGGAUGCAUGAUGGAGAGACAGUGCAGUGUACUGGUCUGCUACAUGCUGUGUUUUGUGGUUUAAACUUUGCAACGAUGGCAUGCCUCGGAAUAAUCCGCGGUUUGGAGAUUUAUGUGCAGUUGCGGUUCGGUUCGAAAUGAUGAAGAUCAUUGUUUAUUUGGCGUUGAUCACCGAAGGUAGCGGUAGUAACAGAUUAGGCAAGGCGCUCUUAGUGUCGUCCUGGGUUUCAUGGCACAGAAAGAUUUCCGAAUUCGGACCUGGACAGAUUUCGCCGUCAGUUCCGAGAUCGAGGAGGGGAGGAGGGCCAGAUCAUGCAGGGAGUCUGGCUGUCCGUCGCUACAAGAGCAGCCCGUUCCGGCCUCCACCAAACCAACCAAGCAAUCGAGCCAAACAAGCUCACCUUCCAACUGUAUAGCUGCACGAGGGAUCUCGGCGUGGCGCUUGCCGUCCUGCCCCUGCUGUUCAUGCCCGGGGCGUCCGCGGUCGUCCCCAGCAUCGACGCCACGCGGACCCGCCACCUGCCGCUGCCACCUGGACUGCUGCGCGGCCCGGAGAGCGUCGCCUUUGACGCCAAAGGCAACGGCCCAUACAGCGGCAUCUCCGACGGCCGCGUCCUCAAGUGGAACGGCGACAGGCUCGGCUGGACGACGUACACUUACAGCCCUGGAUAGUGGAUACAGCAGCGAGGCGUGCACGGCGUCCGUCCGUCCGCUGGGCCUACGGUUUCACCUCAAGUCUGGCUACUUGUACAUAGCCGACGCCUACAAGGGGCUCAGGAGGGUCGCGCCAGGAGGCGGGGAGGCGACGGUGCUUGUCACGGAGGCCGACGGCGCUCCUCUCCGCUUCACCAAUGGCGUGGACGUUGACCAGGUGACCGGUGAAGUCUACUUCACCGACAGCUCUAUGAAAUAUCAAAGGUCACAGCACGAGAUGGUAACAAGAACCGGUGACUCGACAGGCCGCCUAAUGAGAUAUGAUCCACGCACAGGAAAAGUGAUUGUGCUAAAGGCCGGCAUCACUUACCCCAAUGGUCUCGCCAUCAGCGCUGAUCGGACACACCUCGUCAUCUCAUCGACCGGGCCGUGCAAGUUGUUGAGGUACUGGACCAAAGGAGGUCCCAAGACAGGCACGAUGGAACUGUUAACUGAUCUACCGGGCUAUCCUGAUAAUUUGAGGCCGGACAAGAAAGGAGGAUACUGGGUGGCAUUACAUCGUGAGAAGAUAGAACUCCAUUUUAGUGUCAGAUAGAUAUCUACUUGCCUUGAGGAUCGGCGCCGAUGGAAAAAUAAUCGAGGAAAUGAGGGGACCCAAGGCCAAGGGCAUGAGGCCAGCAGAGGUGGUGGAAUGGACACGCGGCAGACUAUUUGUGGGAUCCGUCGAGCUUUCUUAUGUUGCCAUGGCCACACGCAAAUAGAGAUUAAUUUAAGUU